UGCCAGCAGCCGCGGUAAUACGUAGGUGGCAAGCGUUGUCCGGAUUUAUUGGGCGUAAAGCGAGCGCAGGCGGUUCCUUAAGUCUGAUGUGAAAGCCCCCGGCUCAACCGGGGAGGGUCAUUGGAAACUGGGGAACUUGAGUGCAGAAGAGGAGAGUGGAAUUCCAUGUGUAGCGGUGAAAUGCGUAGAUAUAUGGAGGAACACCAGUGGCGAAGGCGACUCUCUGGUCUGUAACUGACGCUGAGGCUCGAAAGCGUGGGUAGCAAACAGGAUUAGAUA
rnacentral:rRNA from 1 species